rnacentral:rRNA from 1 species
GGAGGGUGCAAGCGUUGUUCGGAAUUAUUGGGCGUAAAGAGCGUGUAGGCGGUUCGGUAAGUCAGAUGUGAAAGCCCUGGGCUCAACCCAGGAAGUGCAUUUGAAACUACCAGACUUGAGUACGGGAGAGGAGGGGGGAAUUCCCGGUGUAGAGGUGAAAUUCGUAGAUAUCGGGAGGAAUACCAGUGGCGAAGGCGCCCCUCUGGACCGAUACUGACGCUGAGACGCGAAAGCGUGGGGAGCAAACAGGAUUAGAUACCCUGGUAGUCCACGCCGUAAACGAUGAGCACUAGGUGUAGCGGGUAUUGACCCCCCUGCUGUGCCCAUAGCUAACGCAUUAAGUGCUCCGCCUGGGGACUACGGUCGCAAGACUA